AUGUCUGUUUCCUCAGCUUGUUAUGGAGGAAUUAGGAGUUCCUGGCUUGCUGCUCGAUCAGUCCCUCAGCACAGCUCCCACUUUCUUUAUCACACAGUGGCUCCACCCAGCCCUCCUGACCCAGACGAGCCAGUGCUGCUCAUGGUGUGUGUAACCCUUGCUGUGGUUUUGGUGGUGGUUUUUCUGGGGAUCUACUAUGGCUUCCAACGCCACAGGUAGUAUAAACCCUAGAGGGUGUCUCACGCACAGGACAGUCAAUGGACCUAUUCAAAUACCCUUCAAAUGUAUUCGUACUUCUUUCCAUGAGGAAAUCACUGAUCUGACACAUUGAUUGAAGCAAUGGGGAACGCAUGUUUUCACGUAUCCACUCUUGUACUGAUCAGUGAUUACCACAGGGAAGGGAGGAAAGAAAGAAUCCGUUUUAGAGGUAUUCACUCACUGCACAGAUAUAACCUACAUGGUUGUAAGUCUCCUCUUCGUUUCCAUCAGUGCUAAGAAAAACACCACUGACACCACCAGAAGAAAUGGGUCCAUUUAAUGAUUUUAUUUUUUUACCUUUAUUUAACUAGGCAAGUCAGUUAAGAACAAAUUCUUAUUUUCAAUGACGGCCUAGGAACAGUGGGUUAACUCCCUGUUCAGGGGCAGAACGACAGAUUUGUACCUGGUCAGCUCAGGGAUUUGAACUUGCAACCUUUCGGUUACUAGUCCAAUGCUCCACGAGGAUGAGUCCCGAAGUAAGACUUAAAUCCUUCUCAUUUUGGACACCUAUCUAUUAUUUUCUAUUUCAAUUCCAUUUUUAACGCAUGUCUCCCUUUGCAGGGACUGGCUGGAACAUCGGCGUGUUUGUCUGCACAGGAUGUGCAUCUGCAUGCAAAUGUAUUGGCUGAAGCCCAGUAGCAACAUAGGUUGUAUUCCAAAUGGCAUCAUAUUCCCUAUUUUGUGAGAGAAAUUUGAACAGAGCCCUAUGGGUCCUGGUCAAAAUGAGUGUACUAAAAAGGGAAUAGGGUGUCAUUUGGAACACAAUCAUAAUUUCAACAACGUCUGGAGUUGAGUAUCACAUCAGUCUGUCUGCAAUAAACAUUUUGAGCAGCAAAAUCAGACAGGAGGUUGUAUGUAUUGUAACUCCACUAGGGGGAGCCAAACGUGCAAGAGAGACUUCAGGAAUUAGAACCAUUUCCUUUGCCUCUAAGGUCUUUUCCAUUAGAUAGGAUUUUACAACACUGCUUGUUCAAUACCACAAAAUUAAAACAAUAGACUUGAGCCAUAGGCAAGGAAAACUGUCUGCAAUUCAAUAAAUAUACUGAACACAGAUAAGAUAAAACGGUGGUGAAUAGCAACAAGGAAAUCCACAGUCAUGUUUAGCUCGUCUAAAAAAUGAUCACAGUCAGAUAUUGAUUUAAAGCACAACAGAGAAGACAGAAACCCCAGAGAGAGCAUGCAAGGCCUAUUCGCUCGCUACAGAAAACGUCAACAUCCUACAACUGCCACUUGCUCUUGCGUUGAUGCACAGAGGGUUAUUUUUACAAGGCCAGACAUACUGUAGCAGAAGAGCAUCCACUGGAAUACGAACAUGAAUGGGUCAACAAAUCAAAUAUAAAUCAGAUCAACAAACAAAAAAUAGUCUUGUGUUGUCAAUCGUGGCUUUCCUGCUGUAUUUCUGUUUCUUUGUAUUUGUAUUUUUUUUAUUUAAAAAAUAAAAAUUGAGAACCAUUUGUGACCAUGCUGUACCACCAGCAUAGAAAUAGAGUUCUGGUGGAGUUUUCUUUGUUCUGGUCAUCAGGUCUUAUCUUAAAGUGGCCAUCAGCAAUCGAAACAAUAAUAAAGUGUUCUCCCCACCCCUGUUCCGGCAAAAAGCCGAGGGACGGGGCUGGAGAAAUGUAACCACUCUCAUGUUCAGAGACAGAGCAAUGGAUGCAGGACUGAUCAUCCACGACGUACAAUGAUAGUUAUAACCAUGUUUGGAUGCUAUAUAGUGUUUGUUUACAUUUACUUUGUUUGCAAACAUUGGAGUGAAACAGACUUAUAUCUGUUGGCUCUGAUGGUACGAGAGUUGAACUAAGCUCACAAGGUAUUUAUGUUCUUCAACCAUCAAUGGGUACUUACAGUAUCAUUAACUUAUACAUCCAAAAAUGGAUGAAGCAACUGCAGGUUGCCCCUUUAAAGGAAAUAGAUGUAUAUGUGUUCUAUUUAUGUAUUACCGUUGUGCAUUUAUUUAU
ensembl:lncRNA